rnacentral:rRNA from 1 species
AUACGGAGGGUGCAAGCGUUAUUCGGAAUCACUGGGCGUAAAGGACGCGUAGGCGGGUUGGCAAGUCAGAUGUGAAAUCCUACAGCUUAACUGUAGAACUGCAUUUGAAACUGCUAAGCUAGGGUAUGGGAGGGGGAGAUGGAAUUAGUGGUGUAGGGGUAAAAUCCGUAGAUAUCACUAGGAAUACCGAAAGCGAAGGCGAUCUCCUGGAACAUAACUGACGCUAAGGCGUGAAAGCGUGGGGAGCAAACAGGAUUAGAAACCCUAGUAGUCC